AACGAACGCUGGCGGCAGGCUUAACACAUGCAAGUCGAGCGCCCCGCAAGGGGAGCGGCAGACGGGUGAGUAACGCGUGGGAAUCUACCCAUCUCUACGGAAUAACGCAUGGAAACGUGUGCUAAUACCGUAUACGUCCUUCGGGAGAAAGAUUUAUCGGAGAUGGAUGAGCCCGCGUUGGAUUAGCUAGUUGGUGGGGUAAAGGCCUACCAAGGCGACGAUCCAUAGCUGGUCUGAGAGGAUGAUCAGCCAAACUGGGACUGAGACACGGCCGAGACUCCUACGGGAGGCAGCAGUGGGGAAUAUUGGACAAUGGGCGCAAGCCUGAUCCAGCCAUGCCGCGUGAGUGAUGAAGGCCCUAGGGUUGUAAAGCUCUUUCACCGGUGAAGAUAAUGACGGUAACCGGAGAAGAAGCCCCGGCUAACUUCGUGCCAGCAGCCGCCGUAACAC
rnacentral:rRNA from 1 species